rnacentral:lncRNA from 1 species
UUCUUUUUUUUCCUUUGCGAUAGAGUAAAAAGUAACAUGCUACUGACUUCAUUUAUAUUUUUUAGAAAUAAAUUUAGCUGAAAAUAUAAAGCAAUUAGGGCUCGAACUUAGGACCUCGGAUACCACACAAAGUCUUUUGCCACUUGCGCUACAGACGAUCGGUAAUGGUGCAAAGUUACAAGCCAAAAUAGAAAGCUACAAACUCCCAAGAGACUAUUUAUUAUCUCUCUUAUAAACCGUAAGAGACACUUAGGCUUAGCUUGGUAUUGAGGCCCAUUUGACGCCAUUAGAUAAAAUAGAGUUGGGAUAAAAGUAUAUAGAGAUAAACUUCUGCGUUCUCCGGCGAGACUGCAGAAAAUAUAUCGUAACUGACUCAUCGCGAUAUGCGAAACGCAAUAUUACGUACGAAAACAAACAGACAUUUUUCCGUCGUUCUUCCUCAUCGCACGUAAUGCAAUCUCCCCGCAAUCCUAAAUGAAGCCUUCGACUCUUCGGCUUUCGCAUCUGCAGUCUCAAAACCGGCAUAGAUGCUUCUAGAAGGCACUGACAAAAUGUCCGACAGUAAUCUUCUUUGAAGUUUCGAUGAUUAUAAAAGGGUAAAGUGAGAAAAUAUUAACUCUAUGACAACACGCUCUUUUCGAGUGUGUACAGAUAGCAUUUCUCAAUAAUAUGUAUAAUAAUAUAUAAUAUAGGGUAAACUUUAAAUACCCCAUGUGAUUUCACACUUUCUCACUUUAGUAUCCUGUGGUUUAAAGAGUAUCAAGUUAGCCCUUGUGGUUUCGCACUUUCUCAUUUUAGUACCCUAUGAUUUAAAGUGUAUUAAGUUAGUACCCUAUGGUUUCAUUUUCUUUUUUUAUUAUUCAUUUCACUAAUUUUUUUCGUUAAAUCAGUAACAAAGUUAAAAUUAAAGGGUACUAAAGUGAAUAUUCGAUAAACCUAGGUAGGGUAUCUGAAGUUUUUUGUAUAUAAUUUAACGAAAUAUUAACGGAGGAAAAAAAAUCAGUGACAAAAUUAAAACGAAAGGGUACUAAAGUAAUAUUCGAUAAACCUAGGUAGGGUAUCUGAAGUGUUUUGUAUAUAACUUAACGAAAUAUUAACAGAUGAGCCGAUAAAAAGAGAAAAAUGAAACCACAGAGUGCUAAAUUGAUGCACUUUGAACCACAAAGUACUAAAGUGAAAAAGUGCGAAACCACAUAACACUAAAUUAAUACACUUUAAACCGCAGAGUAUUUAAGUGAAAAAAUGUGAAACUAUAGAGGUGGUAUUUAAAGUUUUCCCUAUAAUAUAUAUAUAUAUAAUAUAUAUAAUAAUAAUAAUAUAUAAUUAGCACCCAUUUUGGGUCAAAGGGAGACGUGUGAUUUGGGUCCACGCGCUUUUGGCGUGGGGGGCGCGACCACUGACGCAACCCCCGCCGCGGCGCCGCGCACGCGCGCGGCGUGAGCCCGCCGAUGACCUCCGCACCGCGUACUCAACCUCUCCCCCACUUUCAAAACCGGGACCACUUUUUUUUUUCUUUUUUUUUUUGUUUGUUGUUUUUACGUAGAUGCAAAUGGAUCCGGGUUGGUGGAGCUCCACCCCGAUCCGCCCCGAAUGGGAUGGUAAGUGGGAAUAAAAAAUAUAGAAAAAUAUAAUCCGUCCCGAUCCGCCAAGUAAAUGGAGCGGGAGGCGGGAGACUCUUUUCUUCUUUCAAUCUAUUCCGAUCCGUUAAAAAUCGGCUCCCGUCCCGCUCCCGCCCCGAUCCGCCCCGAAUGGAACGGUAAGUGGGAGCCAAAAAUAAAAUGAAAAGUAACCCGCUCCGAAUCCGUCCCGCCCAGAUAAGAAAUGGAGCGGAAGGUGGGGGAACUUUCCCGCCCCCGGAUCCGCCCCGUUUGCAUCCCUAUUUUUACG